CAGAAUCUUGGUUUUUGCCUUACGAGUCAGUGGGAGAGGCCCCUGUCUUGGCCACUGUGUUAGUCCGUUUUCACACUGCUACAAAGAUGCUACCUGAGACUGGGUAGUUUAUAAACAAAAGAGGUUUAAUUGACUGACAGUUCUACAUGGCUGGGAAGGCCUCAGGAAACUUACAACCAUGGCAGAAGGUGAAGGGGAAGCAGGCAUCUUCUUCACAAGGUGGCAGGAGAGAGAGAGAACACAAGGGAAAGUGCCACUUUUAAAACCAUUAGAUCUCGUGAGAACUCCCUCACUAUCACGAGAAUAACAUGGGGGAAACCACGAGGUUUCCCACCAGGUUCCUCCCUUGACACGUGGGGAUUACAGUUUGGGAUGAGAUUUGGGUAGGGACAAAGGGCCAAACCACAUCAGCCACUACUAGGUAGCCCUUUGAAAAAGAAAUAAUCAUAACAUAGGAAAGAAUUUAUGUACAAGGUGAUUCACGGCAUCAUUUUUUAUAGCAAAAUAUUGAAAAAAUAAAAAUGUCCAUCAAUAGGGGAUCAAUGUUUACAAAUACGGUACACAACACAACAGAAAAGUAUUCAACUAUAAAAAGAAUAAAAAGGGUUCACUGCACAUAGUAAUACAGAAAGAUCGCCAAGAUAUAUCAUUAGGUAAAAAAGACAAGGCACGGAACAAUCAUAUUAUGUUCCAUCUUCUGUGUGAAGGAAGGAGGAUACAAUAAAAAUGUAUUUCAUGGUUUUUUGUUUUGUUUUGUUUUGUUUUUUUGAGAUGGAGUUACGCUCUUGUUGCCCAGGCUAGAGUGCAAUGGCAUGAUCUUGGCUCACUGCAACCUCCGCCUCCUGGGUUCAAACAAUUAUCCUGCCUCAGUCUCCCGAGUAGCUGGGAUUACAGGCGGCCACCACCACGCCCAGCUAAUUUUUUUGUAAUUUUAGUAGUGACGGGGUUUCACCAAAUUGGCCAGGCUGGUCUUGAACUCCUGAGCUCAGGUGAUCCACCCACCUCAGCCUCCCAAAGUGCUGGGAUUACAGGCGUGAGCCACCGCUCCCAGCCUGUUUUAUUUUUUUAUAACGGUAAACAUACAUAACAAAAUUGACCAUUGUAAGCAUUUUAGAUGUAUAGUUCUAUGACAUUAAGUACAUUCACAUUGUUGGGCCACCGACAUCAUCAUCAUCCAUCUCAAGAACUUUUUCAUCAUCUCAGACUGAAACUCUGUCCCCAUUAAACAUGAACUCCCCAUCCCACUCCCCGCAGGCCCUGGAAACCCCCAUUCCACUUUCUGUCUCUGUGAAUUUGACUGCUCUAGGAACCUAAUGUAACUGGGCUAUAUUUGUUCUUUUGUAACUGGUUUACUUUACUUAGCAUAAUGUCUUCAAGGCUCACUCAUAUUUGCCUGUAUUUAUCUUUUUUUUUUUUUAAACUCUGAAAGGAUACAAUAGUGCUGAUGACAGGGAUUACCUGUCAGGGAAGUAGGAAUAAAGCAAGAGAAGAAAGGGAUGGGAAGAAGAUUUUUUAAAUAUCCUUUUUUGUCAUUUAAAACUUUUUUAGCCACUUCAUAUAUUACUUAUUCAAAAUGCCAGAUUUUGAACACCAUGAACAAUAAAGUGAAAGGAAGAAAAAGAAAACUUCAGUCUUUGCUCAGUGAAGGUGUGGGUCAUUAGCUGGACCUGACCCAGAGCCCCUGGGGCAUCUUUGUGGCCACUGAGUUUUUAUGUUGGUUCCAUAUCCCACACUGGAUUAAAAACUCCCCAAGUCCAGCCUGUGUUUUGCACAGGGUGGGGGGCCCAGUGACUUGCACAGUUGACAGAGAGCUGGCAGCCUCUGCAGAGGUGAUGCUUGGUAAGACGCGUAAUGUUGAACCAUAUAAAGAAGGCUGUUUGGCUAAGACCCUCUGGGUUAUGUGGAAUUAUCUUUAAUGCACCAGACAAGAAGAUUGUUAACCAGCCUUAUUACCAACAAUUUCUUAUGACCAUGGUAGGGCAGGCAGAUGAUUUGAGGAUUAUCGGGACGCUGACAAAUCCCCUGGGCCCUGACAAUCUCAUUUAGAAAAGAAUCAAAUCUGUUUAUUGCUGAUAAUAGAUGGCAUGCCCCCAGGUUUGCUUGUAAGUAAUAUGUGCAUUGCUUUUUAUUUUUUUCUUUUAGCAACAGGAGCCAAACUUGGAUUCACCCUGAUAAAGCAGACAUUUGGGACUUCAUGUGAUCUAAUUGCUCUGAGCUGUUCCUUAAUCCCCAAUCGCUAAACCUUUGCAUCGUUGCCCACAAUGGCAUAAACUACCUUGAUCCAGGAUUGCAAAAUGGUCCACCCAACAAAGAAGCCUCAUAAUUGUUGAUGUGGCUGAGAUUCUCUAAUGCACCCUCCCUUGUUUUUAUUUGUUGUUCUAAGAAUUAUUUAAGUAAAAGAACAAAGCAAAUCUUAAACUUGUCUCUGUGAUAAGGUGAACCUCGGAAGGCGAAGUCCAUUUCUUCAUUCAUCUCUGCAUUCACAGCAACAGGUCAUGUAUCUAGUUGGACUGGCUCUUCCACUGUGGAGUGUCCCAUUUGAACCAGUUACUGAUGUAUGGCCUCCAAGCUCCAGAUCAACCCUUCCUGGCCCUGCUGGUGACAUCAGAGAUGGACUCUGUAAAUGUUCCUCCCUUGCCACCUGCCACGAUGUUACGUUUUGUCAGUAGCCAGCCACUGAGGGACAUUGCAAGUGGCAGAGGCUUUCUUCCUGGUCCCAGUGUUUUUCCUCUUGCUCCUGCAAUACUGCAGCUGGUGGGGCCAGUGGGAGACCCAGAGAUGUGAACCCUCCUGGAAGGUUCACUGUCACCCCAACAGGAGGCUUCCUGGAAAGUUUCCCCAGCACCCAGCAGGUGGUUUUCUGCUUGCCAGCCAUGGUCUGCAGCACCUCAGCAAACUCUUAUCCCAUCCAGUGGCCACAUCUUUCAUCAACGAUGUGCAUCUCAGCCUUGGAGGGGAGGCUUCGUCCAAGCUUGUCUUCCUUGAAUAUUUUGCCUCGGCCCUAGAGGUAGUGUUUUUUCUCUACAUCUGCUAUUCCUAUAAUCUGUCUUGUUUUGUUUUCUAAUUGAAGUCCCUUACUGGUCCUGCUUCUACGAGUGGCGGUGACCAGGUGAAAAGGGAGAGGAAUCAGCCGGCCCAGGGAGGGUCACCUCUACCACAUUCCACUCACACACAGAAUGGAACACACAAGCACAGAGUCAACAGUUAUUGUGAUUAGAAGUUGGUAGCAUGGGG
rnacentral:lncRNA from 10 species